GGUCAGUUACCCUUGGUUGCUGAGCUGUGACUCCAACAUGAAGACUGAUUGCAAAGACCACAAGGCAUGCUAGAACUUGGUGUGGUGUACUUUGGAAAGACUUCGCACAGUGCAAACACCAGCUCUCCCCUUGGAGAAUCAUCUUAUUAAACAGUGCCAAGAGUUACAUCUUACGGAAAAAGAGCAAUUCAUUUCCUGAAAGUGUCGCCGUGAUGAUUAUCUACAUACCCCUCCACAUCUGCAUACAUGGCAGGCAUUGUGGCCUCCAGUGGAAUGACUGUGUGUGGAAGAAAACCUCUAUAAAGAAUAUUCCUCAAUGUCACUGACUUGGCCAGACAGCUCAGAUGCACACUGGAGCGUCAGAGGAGGAUCCGGGAAGGUCACUCAUGGUUUUCACGCCUAUAAUAAUCCUUCAUGACCGCUUUUAAGUUGCUGGCCUCUGCUGCCUUCCUCUAGUCUUACAAUUUUCCAUGGUUCUCUAACUGGAAACAGAUACUCUCACCAUAAAGAUUCCUAAUAUGUGUCA